ACUUUGAAAAAAUUAGAGUGCUCAAAGCAGGCGCGACGCCUGGAUAAUGGUGCAUGGAAUAAUGGAAUAGGACCUCGGUUCUAUUUUGUUGGUUUUAGGAACACGAGGUAAUGAUUAAGAGGGACAGACGGGGGCAUUCGUAUUGCGACGCUAGAGGUGAAAUUCUUGGACCGCCGCACGACGAACUACUGCGAAAGCAUUUGCCAAGAAUGUUUCCAUUAAUCAAGAACGAAAGUUAGAGGUCCGAAGGCGAUCAGAUACCGCCCUAGUUCUAACCAUAAACGAUGCCAGCCAGCGAUCCGGCUGUGUUCCUCAAAUGACACGCCGGGCAGCUUCCGGGAAACCAAAGCUUUUGGGUUCCGGGGGGAGUAUGGUUGCAAAGCUUAAACUUGAAGGAAUUGACGGAAGCGCACACAAGGAAUGGGGCCUGCGGUUUAAUUUGACUCAACACGGUGCAACUCUCCUGGCCCGGACACAGGAAGGAUUGACAGAUUGAGAGCUCUUUCUUAAUUCUGUGAUAGGUGGUGCAUGGCCGUUUCUGGUUGGUGGAGUGAUUUGUCUGCUUUAUUGCGAUAACGAGCGAGACUCUAGCCUACUAAAUAGACGGUGCGAUCCUUCUGAGUCGCACGUUCUUCUUAGAGGGACAGGCGGUGUUCAGCCGCACGAAACAGAGCAAAAACAGGUCAGGAUGCCCUUAGAUGUUCGGGGCCACACGCGCGCCACAUUGAAGGAACCAGCGUGUGCUUUCCCUGUCCGACAGGACUGGGUAACCCGUUGAAACUCCUUCGUGCUGGGGAUAGGGGUUUGUAAUUGUCCCCCUUGAACGAGGAAUUCCCAGUAAGCGCGAGUCAUCAGCUCGUGUUGAUUACGUCCCUGCGCUUUGUACACACCGCCCGUCGCUAUUAUCGAUGAAUUUUGGAGUGAGAUCUU
rnacentral:rRNA from 1 species